rnacentral:rRNA from 1 species
GAAAGUAGGAAAGGGCGCAUGGCGGAUGCCUUGGCUCUCGGAGGCGAUGAAGGACGUGAUAAGCUGCGAUAAGUCACGGGGAGGUGCAAAUAACCUUUGAUCCGUGAAUCUCCGAAUGGGACAACCCGAUAUCCUGAAGGGAUAUCACCUCAUCUAGUUGAGGAGCUAACGCAGGGAACUGAAACAUCUUAGUACCUGCAGGAAAAGAAAAUAACAAUGAUUCCCCCAGUAGUGGCGAGCGAACGGGGAAUAGCCCAAACCAUUCAUGUUACGGCAUGGAUGGGGUUGUAGGACCACGGCGUUGCAAGAGAUCUUGUGAGAAGAACAGCCUGGAAAGACUGACCACAGACGGUGACAGUCCGGUAUUCGAAGCAAGACGAAGCAUAGUGGUAUCCUGAGUAGCGCGGAACACGAGGAAUUCUGCGUGAAUCUGCCGGGACCAUCCGGUAAGGCUAAAUACUCCCGAGAGACCGAUAGUGGACCAGUACCGUGAGGGAAAGGUGAAAAGCACUUCGAACAGAAGAGUGAAAGAGUACCUGAAACCGUGCGCCUACAAGCGGUCGGAGCACGAAAGUGUGACGGCGUGCCUUUUGCAUAAUGAACCUACGAGUUACCGUAUCUGGCAAGGUUAAGGGUCACGAGACCUGCAGCCGAAGCGAAAGCGAGUCUGAAGAGGGCGUCGAGUCAGUUGCGGUAGACGCGAAACCAAGUGAUCUACCCUUGGCCAGGAUGAAGUCUGGGUAACACCAGAUGGAGGUCCGCACCAAUAAGCGUUGAAAAGCUUCUGGAUGAGCUGAGGGUAGGGGUGAAAGGCUAAUCAAACUUGGAGAUAGCUCGUACUCCCCGAAAUGCAUUUAGGUGCAGCCUUGUGGGUUACUGAUGUGAGGUAGAGCGACUGAUAAGAUGCGAGGGCUUCACCGCCUAUCAAGUCUUGACAAACUCCGAAUGCGCAUCAGUUUUACCUCAGGAGUGAGGGCAUGGGUGCUAAGGUCCGUGCCCGAGAGGAGAAGAAUCCGGACCACCUGCUAAGGUCCCGAAAUGACAGCUAAGUUAAACUAACGAAGUCUGACUGCUAAGACAGCUAGGAUGUUGGCUUGGAAGCAGCCAUUCAUUUAAAGAGUGCGUAACAGCUCACUAGUCGAGGAGUCUGGCGUGGAUAAUAAUCGGGUAUUAAGUUGUCUACCGAAGCAGUGGGAUCAUUGAAAUGAUCGGUAGGGGAGCAUUCCAGUCAGCGUCGAAGGCGUACCGCGAGGUAUUCUGGAGCGUCUGGAAAAGCAAAUGUAGGUAUAAGUAACGAUAAAGGGGGCGGGAAACCCCCUCGCCGAAAGACUAAGGUUUCCUGAUCAACGCUAAUCGGAUCAGGGUAAGUCGGGUCCUAAGGCUCAGCCGAAGGGCGAUGCCGAUGGCAGAAACGGUUAAUAUUCCGUUACUACCUCCAGGAGUGAUGUGGAGACGCAGUAGUGACAAUGCCGCCAUCUGACGGAAUAGAUGGUUGAAGGGUGUAGAUGUUGAUCUUGGCAGGCAAAUCCACCAUGAGAAUCGAACCUGAUAGUAUGCCGCGUCCCUCGGGACAAGGCAAUAGUGCAUGUAAUCAUGCUGCCAAGAAAAUCCGCUAAACAAAAUCCUGUAGGUACCCGUACCGUAAACGGACACACGUAGUCGGGAUGAAUAUUCUAAGGCGCUUGAGUGAUUCACGGUUAAGGAACUAGGCAAACUGACCCUGUAACUUCGGGAUAAAGGGUCCCUACCCGGUGACGGGAGGGCGCAGAGAAUAGGUCCAGGCAACUGUUUAACAAAAACACAGGGCUGUGCUAAAUCGAAAGAUCCUGUAUACAGCCUGACACCUGCCCGGUGCUGGAAGGUUAAGAGGAGACGUCAUCGUUGAGAGAAGCGUUGAAUUGAAGCCCCAGUAAACGGCGGCCGUAACUAUAACGGUCCUAAGGUAGCGAAAUUCCUUGUCGGGUAAGUUC